rnacentral:tRNA from 1 species
AACCACCAGCGAGAUUCGAACUCGCGACCCCUGGUUUACGAGACCAGUGCUCUAACCUCUAAGCUAUGGUGGC